rnacentral:rRNA from 1 species
CCUACGGGAGACAGCAGUGGGGAAUAUUGGGCAAUGGGCGCAAGCCUGACCCAGCAAUGCCGCGUGAAGGAAGAAGGCUUUCGGGUUGUAAACUUCUUUGACAGGGGAAGAGCAGAAGACGGUACCCUGAAAACAAGCCACGGCUAACUACGUGCCAGCAGCUGCGGUAAUACGUAGGUGGCAAGCGUUGUCCGGAUUUACUGGGUGAAAGGGGCGUGUAGCCGGGAAGGAAAGUCAGAUGUGAAAUCUGGAGGCUCAACCUCCAAAUUGCAUUUAAAACGGUUUUUCUUGAGUACUGGGGAGUCAGACGAAAUUCCUGGUGUAGCGUUGAAAGGCGUGGAUAUAAGGAGGAACACCAGUGGCGAGGGCGGUCAGCUGGACGGCAACUGACGGUGGGGCGCAAAGGCGUGGGAGCAAACAGGAUUAGAUACCCUUGUAGUC